rnacentral:rRNA from 1 species
AAUCAACGCUGGCGGCGUGCCUAACACAUGCAAGUCGCACGAGAAAGGGACUUCGGUCCUGAGUACAGUGGCGCACGGGUGAGUAACACGUGAAUAAUCUACCUCCGAGUGGGGAAUAACUGAGAGAAAUCUUAGCUAAUACCGCAUAACACUUACGAGUCAAAGCAGCAAUGCGCUUGGAGAGGAGUUCGCGGCAGAUUAGUUAGUUGGCAGGGUAAGGCCUACCAAGACGAUGAUCUGUAUCCGGCCUGAGAGGGCGCACGGACACACUGGAACUGAAACACGGUCCAGACUCCUACGGGAGGCAGCAGUGGGGAAUUUUGCGCAAUGGGGGAAACCCUGACGCAGCAACGCCGCGUGGAGGAUGAAAUCCCUUGGGAUGUAAACUCCUUUCGAUCGGGAAGAUAAUGACGGUACCGAGAGAAGAAG